AUCUCUAACAACUAUAUUAAGGCUGAUCUUGAGCUCAGAGCGACUAUAAUGAAGGUUUGGCCGAUCACUAGAGCCGGCAAAAUUGAUCUCCUUGUUCCAACGGAAGAAUUGACGGGUCCAGGGAAGCUAACUGUUGGAAAAUUGUAUGGAGGAAUUCUUAUUUAUGAAAUAUGNA